CCAACGGCCCUCUUUAGGGCCACAAGUUUUUGAUGAUCCCAAUUCU
rfam:Caenorhabditis japonica strain DF5081 Contig18199.100, whole genome shotgun sequence.